UGGCUGUCGUCAGCUCGUGUCGUGAGAUGUUGGGUUAAGUCCCGCAACGAGCGUAACCCUUGUCGCUAGUUACCAGCGGGUAAUGCCGGGGACUUUAGUGAGACCGCCUGCGCAAGCAGUGAGGAAGGUGGGGAUGACGUCAAGUCAUCAUGGUCCUUACGCCUAGGGCUGCACACGUGCUACAAUGGCCGGUACAACGAGCAGCCACCUCGCGAGAGGGAGCGAAUCUCUGAAACCCGGUCCCAGUUCGGAUUGGAGUCUGCAACUCGACUCCAUGAAGCAGGAAUCGCUAGUAAUCGCGGAUCAGCAAUGCCGCGAUGAAUCCGUUCCCGGGCCUUGUACACA
rnacentral:rRNA from 1 species